UACGAAGGGGGCUAGCGUUGUUCGGAAUUACUGGGCGUAAAGCGCGCGCAGGCGGUCUGUCGCGUCUGCUGUGAAAACUCGGGGCUUAACCCCGGGCCUGCAGUGGGUACGGGCAGACUAGAGUGCGGUAGGGGAGACUGGAAUUCUUGGUGUAGCGGUGAAAUGCGUAGAUAUCAAGAGGAACACCUGCGGCGAAGGCGGGUUGCUGGGCCGACACUGACGCUGAAGCGCGAAAGCUAGGGGAGCGAACGGG
rnacentral:rRNA from 1 species